rnacentral:misc_RNA from 1 species
AACUCUCAACUAAACAGCUUUUGUUAGCUCGUUUAGCUUGGAUGUGAGGGUUGCGGGCGACUUUACAGUUGUCGGCUCCCUUUAAAUGCACUAGCUGGGGACUAGUAUGUUAUUCAAGUGCUUCAAUGCUUGAAGACCUCCGGUGUGAUAAUUAUCUACGCUGUUGGUUUAGUUGUUGCGCAUAUAUUGAACUACAGAAUGUUUCUGCUUCCAAUUGUCUCGUAAGAGACUAGUCCGCUACAGGGCUACUUUUGACAA